rnacentral:tRNA from 1 species
GGAUCCAUGGUCUAGCCCGGUUAUGACGCAUCCUUCACACGGAUGAGGUCCUGAGUUCGAAUCUCAGUGGAUCCA